AACGAACGCUGGCGGCAUGCCUAACACAUGCAAGUCGAACGGCACCUCGGGGUUCGGCGUGGCCGGGGGUGGCAAGCGGGGGAAUCCUGCCUUAGGGUUGGGAUAAACCCCCGGAAGGGGGCGUCAAAACCGGUAAUAGUAUCGGAUCAAAGGUUUGGUGGCCUUGGGUGGGCCCUCAGUGGGUUCGCUAGUUGGGAGGGUAAAAUCCUACCAAGGCGACGGUCCAUAGCAGGUUUGAGAGGAUGAGCAGCCACACCGGGACUGAGACACGGCCCAGACUCCUACGCGAGGCAGCAGUGGGUAAUACUGGACAGUGGGCGGAAGCCUGAACCAGCUAUGCCGGGUGAGUGAUGAAGGCCUGAGGGUUGUAAAGCUCUUUUACCCGGGAUGAUGAUGACAGUACCGGGAGAAUAAGCACCGGCUAACUCCGUG
rnacentral:rRNA from 1 species